rnacentral:lncRNA from 1 species
CAUGUAUGUAUAACAUUUAAAUUUUGAUUCAAUUGUAUAAAAUUGCAAAAUUACAAAAUUCACCCCAAAGCAUACUUUGGAUCUUCUAGUUUGCCACCACAGACUUCUGUUGCAAUACUGUUUCACUUUUUCAUCAUCACUAUCUUUCUGCUGCCAUUUUUGUGUCGUCAUCGCUGUCAACCACUGCCAACUCGCUGUCAAACCAUUGUCAACCACCGCUAAACCAUCACUG